rnacentral:rRNA from 1 species
GAUGAACGCUGGCGGCGUGCCUAAUACAUGCAAGUCGAGCGAACAGACGAGGAGCUUGCUCCUCUGACGUUAGCGGCGGACGGGUGAGUAACACGUGGAUAACCUACCUAUAAGACUGGGAUAACUUCGGGAAACCGGAGCUAAUACCGGAUAACAUGUUGAACCGCAUGGUUCAACAGUGAAAGACGGUCUUGCUGUCACUUAUAGAUGGAUCCGCGCCGCAUUAGCUAGUUGGUAAGGUAACGGCUUACCAAGGCAACGAUGCGUAGCCGACCUGAGAGGGUGAUCGGCCACACUGGAACUGAGACACGGUCCAGACUCCUACGGGAGGCAGCAGUAGGGAAUCUUCCGCAAUGGGCGAAAGCCUGACGGAGCAACGCCGCGUGAGUGAAGAAGGUCUUCGGAUCGUAAAACUCUGUUAUUAGGGAAGAACAAAUAUGUAAGUAACUAUGCACGUCUUGACGGUACCUAAUCAGAAAGCCACGGCUAACUACGUG